rnacentral:rRNA from 1 species
GACGAACGCUGGCGGCGUGCUUAACACAUGCAAGUCGAACGGUAAGGCCCCUCGGGGUACACGAGUGGCGAACGGGUGAGUAACACGUGGGUGAUCUGCCCUGCACUUCGGGAUAAGCCUGGGAAACUGGGUCUAAUACCGGAUAGGACCACUGCCUGCAUGGGUGGUGGUGGAAAGCUUUUGCGGUGUGGGAUGGGCCCGCGGCCUAUCAGCUUGUUGGUGGGGUGAUGGCCUACCAAGGCGACGACGGGUAGCCGGCCUGAGAGGGUGACCGGCUACACUGGGACUGAGAUACGGCCCAGACUCCUACGGGAGGCAGCAGUGGGGAAUAUUGCACAAUGGGCGCAAGCCUGAUGCAGCGACGCCGCGUGAGGGAUGACGGCCUACGGGUUGUAAACCUCUUUCAGCACCGACGAAGCGCAAGUGACGGUAGGUGCAGAAGAAGGACCGGCCAACUACGUGCCAGCCGCCGCAGUAA